UUCCUAUACGAACAACCGCCAACCCUCUCCCCCCGAUUAAUAUUGGUUAGAGGCGGUUUUUCAGCUCA
rnacentral:pre_miRNA from 1 species